UGGGGAAUCUUGCACAAUGGAGGAAACUCUGAUGCAGCGAUGCCGCGUGAGUGAAGAAGGCCUUUGGGUUGUAAAGCUCUUUUGUAGGGGAAGAUAAUGACUGUACCCUAAGAAUAAGGUCCGGCUAACUUCGUGCCAGCAGCCGCGGUAAUACGAAGGGACCUAGCGUAGUUCGGAAUUACUGGGCGUAAAGCGCGCGUAGGCCGUUGAGUUAGUUAAUUGUGAAAUCCCAAAGCUUAACUUUGGAACUGCAAUUAAAACUGCUCGACUAGAGUUUGAUAGAGGAAAGCGGAAUACAUAGUGUAGAGGUGAAAUUCGUGGAUAUUAUGUAGAACACCAGUUGCGAAGGCGGCUUUCUGGAUCAACACUGACGCUGAGGCGCGAAAGUAUGGGUAGCAAAGAGGAUUAGAUACCCUCGUAGUCCAUACCAUAAACGAUGAUUGCUAGAUGUUGGAAAUUUAUUUUCAGUAUCGCAGCUAACGCAUUAAGCAAUCCGCCUGGGGAGUACGACCGCAAGGUUA
rnacentral:rRNA from 1 species